AAAAUUCGGGAAGUUUGGUUCCGCCCGGAAGUGUUUCCGCCCGGACCGGAAAAACAGAACACCGGAACUUCCGGUAGCGCCGUAAGAAGGAAAAUCAGGGAAUUCGAUGCACCUGUGCCUAGUUAGGGACAGCGGUUGGUGAUUGGAGGAUACGCUGGACAAGGCAGUACUUAAGGCCAAGUUAUUUCACAGUCUGGGAGCUCUUUCUGGCUGGAAUUGUAUGAUUGUGAAGACAUCGCGAACCUUAAAGGUUGAGAAGUGAACGGAUUAUACGGCGAACUGAGAUGACGUGAAAAAGGGGAUUGGAAGCGGCAUUGAUGUGAGUACUAAGAACCAGUCGAAAGUGCCCUGUAUAUUGACCUGGCGUUGUGUAGAUCUCUCCAGGAGGAGGAGGGCGGCCCUACCCCUAAUAUAGCGUGGUGGGAGAGCCGAAGGAAUACUUAUUGAAGUAGUCACAACGACGACAUCACUAGCUAGGCCGCAUAUUCCAUCGCCAGAUCCGAACCAAGCGAAGUGAAGGAAGACGGGUGUCCUUUUCGUACACUGAGUGUGGUGGGUGAGUCUUCGUGCUGUGAAAACCUAUAAUUUUGACGUGGUGUUGUAUAUUGCUGUGUAUUGUCGUGUGUCCUGUCAGAUAAACCCCCGCCUUCACGCACUUCGUCGCGGGAGGACAAGGAGACUGCUGGUCCUAGCCUAGUU
ensembl:lncRNA